UGGGGAAUAUUGCACAAUGGGCGCAAGCCUGAUGCAGCCAUGCCGCGUGUAUGAAGAAGGCCUUCGGGUUGUAAAGUACUUUCAGCGAGGAGGAAGGCGGUAAGGUUAAUAACCUUAUCGAUUGACGUUACUCGCAGAAGAAGCACCGGCUAACUCCGUGCCAGCAGCCGCGGUAAUACGGAGGGUGCAAGCGUUAAUCGGAAUUACUGAGCGUAAAGCGCACGCAGGCGGUCUGUCAAGUCGGAUGUGAAAUCCCCGGGCUCAACCUGGGAACUGCAUUCGAAACUGGCAGGCUAGAGUCUUGUAGAGGGGGGUAGAAUUCCAGGUGUAGCGGUGAAAUGCGUAGAGAUCUGGAGGAAUACCGGUGGCGAAGGCGGCCCCCUGGACAAAGACUGACGCUCAGGUGCGAAAGCGUGGGGAGCAAACA
rnacentral:rRNA from 1 species